rnacentral:rRNA from 1 species
AGCGAACGCUGGCGGCAGGCCUAACACAUGCAAGUCGAACGAUCCUUCGGGAUAGUGGCGGACGGGUGAGUAACACGUGGGAACGCGCCUUUUGGUUCGGAACAACUCAGGGAAACUUGAGCUAAUACCGAAUGUGCCCUUCGGGGGAAAGAUUUAUCGCCAUUAGAGCGGCCCGCGUCUGAUUAGCUUGUUGGUGAGGU